rnacentral:lncRNA from 1 species
GCAGGUUCUGAAGAAAAGAAAACACAACAUAUAUAUAUAAGAAAAAAAAAAAAGUAAUAAAUGUUUCAAACUGAAAAAUAAAAAGGUUUAAAUUUAAAAUCUGUAGCAAUAAAUCCGAUCGAGCUUUUCCAUCUUCGGUCGGGAUCAAGGAUGCGGCGGCGUAAAACAACACUGUUCACACACGGGAGGAGUCUUCUCUAUGUUGCAGUUGCAACACGCAACGUCACAAUUGUUUACGCAUGCUAUAUAUAUAUAAACAAAACAAAUUAUUAAAUACUAAUCAGUUAAUUAACAUGUACAGUUAAAUCUCUAUAAAUUAAAACAUUCAGGACUAGAGAAAUUCUAUUAAUUUAGCGAAUUAUUAAAUUAUCGAUUUAAUAAUUUAACACGUUUUCACCAAGCUUCAGAACCGAGAGAAACUAUUAUUUAAUCAAAAUUAUUAAUUUAUCGAGGUUCUAGGUUCUACUGUGUUAGUAAUAUUAAGAAGAGAAAGAAAGAGAUUAUUAAUUUAUCGAGCAUUAAUUUAUUGAGUUUCUAGGUUCUAUUGUAUUAAUAACAUUAAGAGAGAGAGAGAGAGAGAGAGAGAGAGAGAGAGAGAGAGAGAGUACACGUACGAUGUACGGUGACAAUUACUUUAGAAGAUGAAACGUCGUUAUUGUUGAUCAUCAACGGAACACUCAUCAACGGAACACGAGCCACGUUAACGGCGUCGAUCUUGAAAAGUGUAGCAAGAAAAAGAAUUACAACUAGCAUUGUUGUA